rnacentral:rRNA from 1 species
UACGUAGGGUGCAAGCGUUGUCCGGAAUUAUUGGGCGUAAAGAGCUCGUAGGCGGUCUGUCGCGUCGGCUGUGAAAACCCGGGGCUCAACCCCGGGCCUGCAGUCGAUACGGGCAGACUAGAGUGCGGUAGGGGAGACUGGAAUUCCUGGUGUAGCGGUGAAUGCGCAGAUAUCAGGAGGAACACCGGUGGCGAAGGCGGGUCUCUGGCCGUAACUGACGCUGAGGAGCGAAGCGUGGGAGCGAACAGG